rnacentral:lncRNA from 1 species
AUCUGGCACUUUCUCCAUAGAUACUUUGAUAUCAGUGGUUUCAUUAACGUCUUCUUCCUCCUUUUCAGGUAAGCCUUCUAAAUUUGCAUUUUCAGGCUCUUCAUCUUCUUUUUCUCUUGCAAAUCCAAUUGGAACUGAUUCCUUUGGGCCUGGUAUUAUUACCUGAGAUACCUUGAGAUCAGUGAUUUCAUUGGCAGGAGCUUCUUGACUGUCUCCUUGUUCUUUCUCCAAUUCUUUUACAGGUACUUCAUGCUCCUUCGUGCUCACUACUUCAGGCCCUUGAGCUUCUCCUGGUUCCUCUAUAGCUCCUUUCGCUGGUACGUCCUCUAAUUUUAUUGGAACCCCAUUCUCUUCAACUACUGAUUCGGAUUCUUCCAUUUUUUCUUCUUCCUCUUCUUCUUCUUCUUCUUCUUCUUUUUCUUCUUCUUCUUCUUCUUCAGCUUUUAAUUCCUCUAUUUCGAGGCCUGUUAUCUCCCCAGGCCUGGUCUUAGGCAUGUAUACAUGAAGGAUCCCUUCCUCUUCCUCAAAUGUGG